CAGUAGCCGCGGGAAUACGGAGGGUGCAAGCGUUAUCCGGAUUUAUUGGGUUUAAAGGGUCCGUAGGCGGAUCUGUAAGUCAGUGGUGAAAUCUCACAGCUUAACUGUGAAACUGCCAUUGAUACUGCAGGUCUUGAGUAAAUUUGAAGUGGCUGGAAUAAGUAGUGUAGCGGUGAAAUGCAUAGAUAUUACUUAUAACACCAAUUGCGAAGGCAGGUCACUAAGAUUUAACUGACGCUGAUGGACGAAAGCGUGGGGAGCGAACAGGAUUAGAUACCCCAGUAGUCCCUGUCUCUUAUAC
rnacentral:rRNA from 1 species